rnacentral:ncRNA from 1 species
GGUAGUAGCAAAUAAUCGAAUGAGACCUUGGAGGACUGAGGUGGAGAAGGGUUUCGUGUGAACAGUGGUUGAUCACGAGUUAGUCGGUCCUAAGUUCAAGGCGAAAGCUAAAAAUUUUCAAGUUUCAUAUUGAGGGUAUGUUUAUAUGUAUAAAUAAUGUAUAAAAUAGUUGAAUAUAAUUAAACGGAAGGGAAUACUGUUCCAAUUCCGUAACCUGUUGAGUAUCCUUUUGUUUAUUAAAUGUGCUCCUCCCGGCAACAGAAACGACCAUAAAGAAGCCGUCGAGAGAUGUCGGAAGAGUUUUCUUUUGUGUUUUAUAGUCGUACUACCAUUCAAAUCUAGUCGUCAAUACGUUUUCCUCGAAGCUUGAGAAUCUAUGGUGGGGUCACGCAAACUACUGAACAGGCCGUACCAAUAUCCGCAGCUGGCCAAGAUGAAGAGUCUCUAGUC